rnacentral:lncRNA from 1 species
AGCGGGUAAUUUAGAGGCAUUUGCCAUCUUACCAGGAUAUCCUGACAACGUCCGCACAAAUGAAAAGGGUGAGUUUUGGGUGGCGAUCCACUGUCGGCGGAGCUUGUACUCUCAUCUGAUGGCUUUAUACCCUAAAAUUAGGCAUUUCCUGCUCAAGCUCCCAAUUUCAGCCAAGACUCAUUACCUGAUUCACGUUGGGGGAAGGCUUCAUGCUAUGGCUGUCAAAUACAGCCCAGAGGGAAAGAUUUUGCAGGUAUUGGAGGACAGUAAGGGGAAGGUUGUUAAAGCAAUCAGUGAAGUUGAAGAGA